AAACAGGGACAAUACGGAAUUUAAGCAUUCUGACUGAUUCAAAAGAGAGGGCCAAUACGGAGAAGUCACUUUCGUUAGAAUUUUAAAUGACGCCAUUUUGUUUUACAUAAAAAAUAUAUAUUACAAUAGUUUUCACAUUUUUUGGAAAAAAAAUAAUAUCUAACAUGUUCAUGUGAUAACUAAGUAAGACUGAGUGGACGUACGAUGUCGAUACAUACGUUUUCUGUAGAUUAUAACGAUACUUUCGGCUUAUUCGUUAUUGUGUACAAACAAGUUCCUGUCAGAACGAAUCGGAAAUAUACAUUGAGAAAAUAUGCGAAACUCAUAUUACUUGAAAGGAUGAUACUUAUUUAGCUAGUGUGGAUUAUUUGUGCAAUAAUAAUAGCGAUUCACAUGCAGAGAAGUGGAUGAAUAAUAUUCGUUGCGAACUCGAAUGUCAGUUGUAAACUGCAAUCAAUUUCGGUUAAGAAUAAAACGAGGCAUGGGGGUGUAUAAUACGUGAUUGAUUGGUUGUAUUAUCUUGAUCAACACAUAUGUGUACAAUUUUGUGUCUCAUUGACUGCAGUCAACAAAGAAAUAAAGCAGUUCUUAUCAAAGCUCAAAUGGUAAGAUACUCACUAGAGAAAAUAAAUACGAUGUGUGGUUACAGACUUUUUUGUGAGGUUUUGAAAGUCAAGUAGGCGACUGUAGUCCGAGAAACUCUGAACUCCUUAGUGUCUGGUAAUUUGAAUGUCAAAUAGAUUUAACUGUUAACUGCCUUUUUGGCGAUGAGUGGCUCUGGUGUUUGCUGCUCUCUAUGCUUCCAAGAAACCCACCCUUUACUUUCGGUUAAGGAAAGAAAUCACAGAUCACUGGUUUAGCAGUUUUGGUAGUACAGUAAUUGGGAUAAAAAAUAAGAACAAUUUAAAAACUCCAUUUACAAUCAUGAAAUACUUCACCAUGUUGUAGUUUUGUUGUUAUAAGACAAUAUUGAUGAUCCAAAUAAACAUCCUAAUGAGUUUUGAGAUAUUACAAAUUCAAAUGGUUACAAAGAUUAUAAUAUGUAAAAUGUAUGAGUGAUGAAACAAUCAAAGUAUGUUACAUGAAAAGCAAGAACCAGUUUGAUAGUUUUUUGUUGAUAACAUGGAAUCAACCUGUGUCUGAAAACAAACUCGAGUUGUUCAGGAAAAAACAGGGAUUAAAGCCAGUGAAUGAGUUCUUGGAUCAUGUGUUACAGAUUAUCUAACGCAAAAUUGCAUUGAAUGAACCAGAAACAAGUGACAGCCGAUAAAUUCAAUUAAACUCACACAGCAGUAGUGACGACAUUUAUGAUAAUGCCAAAAAUGUUCAACGUUUUAUGUGAGAGUAUAUAGAUACGUGAUCAUCAAAAUCUAUUUUAGAUAUUUGGCUUCCUGUCGUUUAAAAUUGUUGAUACAUUGGCGAAAUGCUAAAGAGCUGUAAAAUGUCGUCAAAUGAGUAUCAUUAAAAGCACUUACA